AACAUUUUAAUAAUUCUUUUUUCAUUUUAUUUUUUCUAAUUUGAAAAAUUCUCUUAGUUAUUUUAUUUAUUUUGUUUAAUAAAUUUUAUUUCCUUGUAUUACGGGUAUUUUUUUUCAUAACAGUAAUAGUGAGGUUGGGCCAUACAUUACUCGUUGUCCCAUCGAAAUUUGUUUUCCAAAUAUUUGGGCCUUUAACUUUUUCACUUUCCC
rnacentral:lncRNA from 1 species